GAUGAACGCUGGCGGCGUGCCUAAUACAUGCAAGUCGAGCGAACAGAUGAGGAGCUUGCUCCUCUGACGUUAGCGGCGGACGGGUGAGUAACACGUGGAUAACCUACCUAUAAGACUGGGAUAACUACGGGAAACCGGAGCUAAUACCGGAUAAUAUAUUGAACCGCAUGGUUCAAUAGUGAAAGACGGUUUUGCUGUCACUUAUAGAUGGAUCCGCGCCGCAUUAGCUAGUUGGUAAGGUAACGGCUUACCAAGGCAACGAUGCGUAGCCGACCUGAGAGGGUGAUCGGCCACACUGGAACUGAGACACGGUCCAGACUCCUACGGGAGGCAGCAGUAGGAAAUCUUCCGCAAUGGGCGAAAGCCUGACGGAGCAACGCCGCGUGAGUGAUGAGGGUCUUCGGAUCGUAAAACUCUGUUAUUAGGGAAGAACAAAUGUGUAAGUAACUAUGCACGUCUUGACGGUACCUAAUCAGAAAGCCACGGCUAACUACGUG
rnacentral:rRNA from 1 species